UACAUGCAGUCGAGGGGUAGAGGUUGCUUGCAACCUUGAGACCGGCGCACGGGUGCGUAACGCGUAUGCAACCUACCUUCAUCUGGGGGAUAGCCCGGAGAAAUCCGGAUUAACACCGCAUAAAAUCACAGUCCCACCUGGGACAAUGAUCAAAUAUUUAUAGGAUGGAGAUGGGCAUGCGUGUCAUUAGCUAGUUGGCGGGGUAACGGCCCACCAAGGCGACGAUGACUAGGGGAUCUGAGAGGAUGGCCCCCCACACUGGUACUGAGACACGGACCAGACUCCUACGGGAGGCAGCAGUAAGGAAUAUUGGUCAAUGGAGGCAACUCUGAACCAGCCAUGCCGCGUGCAGGAAGACUGCCCUAUGGGUUGUAAACUGCUUUUAUUCGGGAAUAAACCUUAUUACGUGUAAUAAGCUGAAUGUACCGAAGGAAUAAGGAUCGGCUAACUCCGUGCCAGCAGCCGCGGUAAUACGGAGGAUCCAAGCGUUAUCCGGAUUUAUUGGGUUUAAAGGGUGCGUAGGCGGCCUGUUAAGUCAGGGGUGAAAGACGGUAGCUCAACUAUCGCAGUGCCCUUGAUACUGAUGGGCUUGAAUGGACUAGAGGUAGGCGGAAUGAGACAAGUAGCGGUGAAAUGCAUAGAUAUGUCUCAGAACACCGAUUGCGAAGGCAGCUUACUAUGGUCUUAUUGACGCUGAGGCACGAAAGCGUGGGGAUCAAACAGGAUUAGAUACCCUGGUAGUCCACGCCCUAAACGAUGAACACUCGCUGUUGGCGAUACACAGUCAGCGGCUAAGCGAAAGCGUUAAGUGUUCCACCUGGGGAGUACGCUCGCAAGAGUGAAACUCAAAGGAAUUGACGGGGGCCCGCACAAGCGGAGGAGCAUGUGGUUUAAUUCGAUGAUACGCGAGGAACCUUACCCGGGCUUGAAAGUUAGUGAAUGAUCCAGAGAUGGAUCAGUGAGCAAUCACACGAAACUAGGUGCUGCAUGGCUGUCGUCA
rnacentral:rRNA from 1 species